GCCAUAUCACAUUGAAAAAACCGUUUUCUUAUCCGAUCACGAAAGUUAAGCAACGUUGAGCCUGGUCAGUACCUAGAUGAGUGACCGCUUGGGAAUACCAAGUACUGUAAG